rnacentral:rRNA from 1 species
GAUGAACGCUGGCGGCGUGCCUAAUACAUGCAAGUCGAGCGAACGGACGAGAAGCUUGCUUUUCUGAUGUUAGCGGCGGACGGGUGAGUAACACGUGGAUAACCUACCUAUAAGACUGGGAUAACUUCGGGAAACCGGAGCUAAUACCGGAUAAUAUUUUGAACCGCAUGGUUCAUAAGUGAAAGACGGUCUUGCUGUCACUUAUAGAUGGAUCCGCGCUGCAUUAGCUAGUUGGUAAGGUAACGGCUUACCAAGGCAACGAUGCAUAGCCGACCUGAGAGGGUGAUCGGCCACACUGGAACUGAGACACGGUCCAGACUCCUACGGGAGGCAGCAGUAGGGAAUCUUCCGCAAUGGGCGAAAGCCUGACGGAGCAACGCCGCGUGAGUGAUGAAGGUCUUCGGAUCGUAAAACUCUGUUAUUAGGGAAGAACAUAUGUGUAAGUAACUGUGCACAUCUUGACGGUACCUAAUCAGAAAGCCACGGCUAACUACGUGC